rnacentral:rRNA from 1 species
UACGAAGGGGGCGAGCGUUGUUCGGAAUUACUGGGCGUAAAGGGCGCGCAGGCGGUCCUUCAAGUCAGAUGUAAAAGCCCCGGGCUCAACCUGGGAAUUGCAUUCGAGACUGAAUAGCUAGGGUGCGGUAGAGGGAAGCGGAAUUUCCGGUGUAGCGGUGAAAUGCGUAGAUAUCGGAAGGAACAUCAGUGGCGAAAGCGGCUUCCUGGACCAGCACCGACGUUCAGGCACGAAAGCGUGGGGAGCAAACAGG